GACGUAGGGCUCGAGCGUUGUCCGGAUUUAUUGGGCGUAAAGAGCUCGUAGGCGGCUUGUUGCGUCGACCGUGAAAACCCGGGGCUCAACUUCGGGCUUGCGGUCGAUACGGGCGGGCUAGAGUUCGGUAGGGGAGACUGGAAUCCCUGGUGUAGCGGUGAAAUGCGCAGAUAUCAGGAGGAACACCGGUGGCGAAGGCGGGUCUCUGGGCCGAUACUGACGCUGAGGAGCGAAAGCGUGGGGAGCGAACAGG
rnacentral:rRNA from 1 species